AGUAAGUGGCGCGAGCUGAAAACUAAGUUCAACACCGAGGAGUAGGAGAUCCUUGAUGUUGAGGAGGAUCAAAGCAGUCUUUGUCCUCGACAUAAAUGGAAUAAGAAGUCUCCUGAGACUGAUUAGGGCUUGACUUUUGGGGUUUCCGCUUUGCAUGAGGCCAUAGACCUCACCUCUAGCCCCCAAGUUCUGCUAAGCUCGUCUCCCGAUCCCUCCAUUGAAGGUGAUCAUCUAGAAGUGCCACCAGUUAUGCCUCACGUUCAAGAGGUUGUUACUCCAAUUUCAUCUGAUGCAGUUGUGGUCGUUGAGGCUGACCCAAAGGGUCCCUCUUUCUCUAUUCCUCCACCAAGUGCUAGUAUCAAGUCUUCCUUUUAGUCACGAUGUAUAUUUCAGAGGUUCGACACGAGUCGUCCUCUAGCUAGGUUGGACCAUGUGAGCAUGUCCCUUAACGUGACUUCAUUGUGGAAUCGUAAUCUCACUGUCGAAAGCUUUUACCGAGAGGAUCCUACCUUUAUUGAUGAUAAGGUCAUAAUCGAGAAGGUUGGCCUAAUAGAGGGGCUGGAUUUUGUCAAGUUUUUUAUGCAGAGGUUCAAUUCUAUUGUGGUUCACUAGAAGUGGAAGUGGAAGAAGAAUGUGAUAGAGCUUGAAAAGGCCAAGAAGAACAAGGCAGUGAUGGUAGAGGUGAAGAAUGACCUAGAAAAGACCAAGAAGUCUUUCUUUGUUAUGACCAAGGCGAAUAAGGCCUAUGUUGCUAAGGUCAGAGAUCUGCUUGGAAAGGUGAAAGCUGUAGAGCUGGAAGUUGAGGGUUCCAGGUCUCAAGCUCGUUCCUAUGAGGAGUAGGUGAGAGCCUUGGAGGAGAAGUUGAAGGCUAUCGAGGAGAGGCAUAAGAGCAAUCAAGAUCUUCUUUAUGUUAAAGCCAAGGAGACCGUUGACCUGAAGAUGGAAUCUGAGGUAUUGAGCACGACAAAGAAAGGUGUGGCUAAAGAGCUUUAGGACACUCAACUCCAAAUUAUGAUUGAGCAUAAGAGGGGUUUCUUCAAAGCCAUUCGUCAGAUGAAGGUGGUGGCUCUUGGGAUCUACAUCUCGGCUUUGGACAUUGACAAAGACGUCCGAUAAGGCAAGUUGAAGUUGGUGAAUGAGGAUGACCUAUUUGAUAGUGGCUCUUGGGAUCUACAUCUCGGCUUUGGACAUUGACAAAGACGUCCGAUAAGGCAAGUUGAAGUUGGUGAAUGAGGAUGACCUAUUUGAUAGCACAAGCAAAUAAAGUUUCUACAUAUUUCUCUAUUUAUUUUUUAUAGGCUUUUUUCUUUUGUGCUUGUUUUGUCUUUUGUCCUUUUUUCUGCUUUUUUGUCUAAGUUGUGUAGCCUUUAUCGAAUUAUUUUAUAAUGAAUACUUUAUCA